CUUGGUAGCAGUGGAGGUCACGAUGUUGAAGGAAACGAGCUUCCUCGUCUUGUUUAUGUGUCUCGUGAGAAAAGACCUGGUUUCCUACAUCACAAAAAAGCUGGUGCCAUGAAUGCCCUGGUAAGAAUCAUGAACAUUGUUUUCAAUCUUUUUUUCACACAGAACUCUUUUAACAUUUGUUUACAUAUAUUUUCAGAUUCGAGUUUCCGGGGUACUUACCAACGCUCCUUUCAUGCUGAACUUGGACUGUGACCAUUAUGUGAACAACAGCAAGGCUGCUAGAGAAGCCAUGUGUUUCUUAAUGGACCCUCAGAUAGGAAAAAAGGUCUGCUAUGUUCAGUUCCCUCAAAGAUUUGAUGGUAUUGAUAGGCACGACCGUUAUGCCAACAGAAAUACAGUCUUCUUUGAUGUAAGUCACUGAAAAAUUAUCAAAACAAAUGUUGUUAUGUAAGAAUUAAAGGAAGAGAUUAAGUUGAAAUUUCAUUUAAAUUUGCAGAUUAACAUGAAAGGUCUAGAUGGAAUUCAAGGUCCUGUAUAUGUGGGUACUGGCUGUGUAUUUAGAAGACAAGCUUUAUAUGGCUAUGAACCUCCGAAGGGGCCCAAGCGCCCGAAGAUGGUAAGCUGUGAUUGCUGCCCCUGCUUUGGACGCCGCAAGAAGCAUAGGAAAUAUUCUAAGGGCGAACAAAAUGGAGAAGCCCCUAGCUUUGAAGGUUUGCUUGAUUCUUCAACUUGCUACUUGGACAGUUAAAUAGGGAGGCGCUUAUCUCUUGAAAUUUUCAUAACUAAAUUUACUUACCUCUCUCAAUGAAUAUGUAUGUAUCAGUUGGAAUGGAGGAUGAUAAGGAAUUAUUGAUGUCCCAAAUGAACUUUGAGAAGAAAUUUGGGCAGUCCGCAAU
rnacentral:lncRNA from 1 species